rnacentral:rRNA from 1 species
GAUGAACGCUGACAGAAUGCUUAACACAUGCAAGUCUACUUGAACUUCGGUUUGGGUGGCGGACGGGUGAGUAACGCGUAAAGAACUUGCCUCACAGUUAGGGACAACAUUUGGAAACGAAUGCUAAUACCUGAUAUUAUGAUUUUAGGGCAUCCUAGGAUUAUGAAAGCUAUAUGUGCUGUGAGAGAGCUUUGCGUCCCAUUAGCUAGUUGGAGAGGUAUCGGCUCACCAAGGCGAUGAUGGGUAGCCGGCCUGAGAGGGUGAACGGCCACAAGGGGACUGAGACACGGCCCUUACUCCUACGGGAGGCAGCAGUGGGGAAUAUUGGACAAUGGACCAAAAGUCUGAUCCAGCAAUUCUGUGUGCACGAUGACGUUUUUCGGAAUGUAAAGUGCUUUCAGUUGGGAAGAAAAAAAUGACGGUACCAACAGAAGAAGUGACGGCUAAAUACGUG